GAUUCGUCACACUAUCAUUAACUGAAUCCAUAGGUUAAUGAGGCGAACCGGGGGAACUGAAACAUCUAAGUACCCCGAGGAAAAGAAAUCAACCGAGAUUCCCCCAGUAGCGGCGAGCGAACGGGGAGGAGCCCAGAGCCUGAAUCAGCAUGUGUGUUAGUGGAAGCGUCUGGAAAGGCGCGCGAUACAGGGUGACAGCCCCGUACACAAAAGCGCAUGUGCUGUGAGCUCGAUGAGUAGGGCGGGACACGUGGUAUCCUGUCUGAAUAUGGGGGGACCAUCCUCCAAGGCUAAAUACUCCUGACUGACCGAUAGUGAACCAGUACCGUGAGGGAAAGGCGAAAAGAACCCCGGCGAGGGGAGUGAAAAAGAACCUGAAACCGUGUACGUACAAGCAGUGGGAGCACCCUUCGGGGUGUGACUGCGUACCUUUUGUAUAAUGGGUCAGCGACUUAUAUUCUGUAGCAAGGUUAACCGUAUAGGGGAGCCGGAGGGAAACCGAGUCUUAAUUGGGCGUUAAGUUGCAGGGUAUAGACCCGAAACCCGGUGAUCUAGCCAUGGGCAGGUUGAAGGUUGGGUAACACUAACUGGAGGACCGAACCGACUAAUGUUGAAAAAUUAGCGGAUGACCUGUGGCUGGGGGUGAAAGGCCAAUCAAACCGGGAGAUAGCUGGUUCUCCCCGAAAGCUAUUUAGGUAGCGCCUCGUGAAUUCAUCUCCGGGGGUAGAGCACUGUUUCGGCUAGGGGGCCAUCCCGGCUUACCAACCCGAUGCAAACUGCGAAUACCGGAGAAUGUUAUCACGGGAGACACACGGCGGGUGCUAACGUCCGUCGUGAAGAGGGAAACAACCCAGACCGCCAGCUAAGGUCCCAAAGUCAUGGUUAAGUGGGAAACGAUGUGGGAAGGCCCAGACAGCCAGGAUGUUGGCUUAGAAGCAGCCAUCAUUUAAAGAAAGCGUAAUAGCUCACUGGUCGAGUCGGCCUGCGCGGAAGAUGUAACGGGGCUAAACCAUGCACCGAAGCUGCGGCAGCGACGCUGAUGCGUUGUUGGGUAGGGGAGCGUUCUGUAAGCCUGUGAA
rnacentral:rRNA from 1 species